UGAUUAUACCCAGAACCAUAGAUCUAGUUCUGAUUAUACCCAGAACCAUAGAUACAGUUCUGAUUAUACCCAGAACCAUAGAUACAGUUCUGAUUAUACCCAGAACCAUAGAUACAGUUCUGAUUAGACCCAGAACCAUAGAUACAGUUCUGAUUAUACCCAGAACCAUAGAUACAGUUCUGAUUAGACCCCUCUCCCCAAACAGUGUUAGAACUAUCAAUUUGAUAUCAUGGAUGGUCAGUCCUUGCAUCCAUAGCUCUGUCUUAUGAAUUUGAGAGUGUUUACAAAUCUCCAACCCCAUCGCUCAGCUUUUAACCAACACAGUGGUGGGGUGGACACGUUGUUAUUGUUUCAACUGCAGAUUGCCCCUUGACGGGUUUAGAUUGUGGCUCCAAAGCAGCACUCCAGUCAACGUGACUGCUUGGUGCCUACGCUGCCCAAAUGGCCCCCUGCCCAAAUGGCCCCCUAUACUUACCCCACAUAGGACUCUGUUCAGAAGUAGUGCACUAUAUAGGGAAUAGGGCUCUGGUCUAUAGUAGUACCACUAUAUAAGGAAUAGGGCUCUGGUCUAAAGUAGUACACUAUAUAGGGAAUAGGGCUCUGGUCUAUAGUAGUACCACUAUAUAGGGAAUAGGGCUCUGGUCUAUAGUAGUACCACUAUAUAGGGAAUAGGGCUCUGGUCUAUAGUAGUACCACUAUAUAGGGAAUAGGACUCUGGUCUAUAGUAGUAACACUAUAUAGGGAAUAGGGCUCUGGUCUAUAGUAGUACCACUAUAUAGGGAAUAGGGCUCUGGUCUAUAGUAGUACACCUAUAUAGGGAAUAGGGCUCUGGUCUAUAGUAGUACACCUAUAUAGGGGAUAAUAGGGUGCCAUUUUUCAUGCACACUUCGAUCCCAGUUUCAUUGAGAUUCAGCCCCAACCACUUAAAUCCAUUGUGUUCAUAGAUAAAGCUCUGGUUUAAUUUUGUUUAGGAAAUGAUCUUUUUAAAUCUGAUUGCCAAAUAAUAAGGUGAUUUGUAUUUUGCGAUAUGCCACUUAUUACAAGACACGUAAAUACACCUGUGCUAGUUACUGAACAUGUACCCGCAGACAGAGAACAGUGUUGUUUUCAGACGGUCUCUUCUGUAGAUACCAAGUCCCGUGAGUCAUGUAGAACUUGUAUAGGCCUGUUUGGGGAACCCCGGGUUGGGGGCAGAACUUGUGUGUAGAGAGUGAACAUACUUUAAUUGGCAGUACAUGAUAUAUAUUUUAAGACACACAGCUUUGUCUGUUCAUGUAGGUCUGGCCCAGAGAACGACUACUGUUGUCUAAUGUCCUCCUUCAUGUUGGUCUGGCUCAGAGAACGACUACUGUUGUCUAAUGUCCUCCUUCAUGUUGGUCUGGCUCAGAGAACGACUACUGUUGUCUAAUGUCCUCCUUCAUGUUGGUCUGACUCAGAGAACGACUACUGUUGUCUAAUGUCCUCCUUCAUGUUGGUCUGGCUCAGAGAACGACUACUGUUGUCUAAUGUCCUCCUUCAUGUUGGUCUGGCUCAGAGAACGACUACUGUUGUCUAAUGUCCUCCUUCAUGUUGGUCUGACUCAGAGAACGACUACUGUUGUCUAAUGUCCUCCUUCAUGUUGGUCUGACUCAGAGAACGACUACUGUUGUCUAAUGUCCUCCUUCAUGUUGGUCUGGCUCAGAGAACGACUACUGUUGUCUAAUGUCCUCCUUCAUGUUGGUCUGGCUCAGAGAACGACUACUGUUGUCUAAUGUCCUCCUUCAUGUUGGUCUGGCUCAGAGAACGACUACUGUUGUCUAAUGUCCUCCUUCAUGUUGGUCUGGCUCAGAGAACGACUACUGUUGUCUAAUGUCCUCCUUCAUGUUGGUCUGGCUCAGAGAACGACUACUGUUGUCUAAUGUCCUCCUUCAUGUUGGUCUGACUCAGAGAACGACUACUGUUGUCUAAUGUCCUCCUUCAUGUUGGUCUGGCUCAGAGAACGACUACUGUUGUCUAAUGUCCUCCUUCAUGUUGGUCUGGCUCAGAGAACGACUACUGUUGUCUAAUGUCCUCCUUCAUGUUGGUCUGGCUCAGAGAACGACUACUGUUGUCUAAUGUCCUCCUUCAUGUAGGUCCGGCUCAGAGACUGUUGUCUAAUGUCCUCCUUCAUGUUGGUCUGGCUCAGAGAACGACUACUGUUGUCUAAUGUCCUCCUUCAUGUUGGUCUGGCUCAGAGAACGACUACUGUUGUCUAAUGUCCUCCUUCAUGUUGGUCUGGCUCAGAGAACGACUACUGUUGUCUAAUGUCCUCCUUCAUGUUGGUCUGGCUCAGAGAACGACUACUGUUGUCUAAUGUCCUCCUUCAUGUUGGUCUGGCUCAGAGAACGACUACUGUUGUCUAAUGUCCUCCUUCAUGUUGGUCUGGCUCAGAGAACGACUACUGUUGUCUAAUGUCCUCCUUCAUGUAGGUCUGGCUCAGAGAACGACUACUGUUGUCUAAUGUCCUCCUUCAUGUUGGUCUGGCUCAGAGAACGACUACUGUUGUCUAAUGUCCUCCUUCAUGUUGGUCUGACUCAGAGAACGACUACUGUUGUCUAAUGUCCUCCUUCAUGUAGGUCUGGGUCAUGUUCAUAUUGGUGCAAAACAGAAGAAAAAACCCCAGAGUGAAACAGUGAGGUACUUACCUGUUCAAUAAGAAACGCUCAUGUCAGUUUUUUCCUGUUGCGUUCCCUGAUGAACACACCACUGGUUCUGUACUAAUAUAUGUUGUAUUAAAGGACAAUAACACUGGUUUUGUUCUGUACUAAUAUAUGUUGUAGUAAAGGACAAUAACACUGGUUUUGUUCUGUAGUAAUAUGUUGUAUUAAAGGACAAUAACACUGGUUUUGUUCUGUACUAAUAUAUGUUGUAUUAAAGGACAAUAACACUGGUUUUGUUCUGUACUAAUAUGUUGUAUUAAAGGACAAUAACACUG